UUCUAUGACGUCAUCACCAGCUGAAUGGAUGGAGUGCCAGUGCUGGAUGUUGUGCACCUUGACUUCAGUCAUGAAGCUGUACAGACAUGAGACACUCUGAUGGGCCGGGAGAUGAGGGCUUCCUUGUUGAAGAGCUCAGCCUAGGAGCAGUGAAACAACUUUGGAAACUGAGUAGGAUAUAUGAGUGCAAGACGUACAGAAGAAAUCCCACCUAGAAGCACUGGCACAUGAACAGCAAGUAAUGCUCACUGGUUUAAGGCAUUUCAGCUUGGAGAAGACAAUAGAGGUAAAAUUCCACUAGAUGGAAUAGUUGAAGCAAAUAUUAACAAGCCAUGUGUGGAAACGUAAGUUUUGGACCAACACAUCCUAUUAUUUGCUUCACUUGGAAGAGCAGAAACACAUAAAAUACAUCUUGUUCAUUUGGGAAUGAGCAGUGCUCUUAGAAGGCCUUCCAGUGUAGGACUUGAGUUGACGAGAACAUUUUUUUUCUAUGGUCCUAUGGAUUAAGAACCAAGGAAAUUAAAAGUGAUUUUAGUUAAUACAGUAGUAGUA